AUUGAACGCUGGCGGCAUGCCUUACACAUGCAAGCCGAACGGCAGCACGGGGCAACCUGGUGGCGAGUGGCGAACGGGUGAGUAAUGCAUCGGAACGUGCCAUUGAGUGGGGGAUAACGUAGCGAAAGUUGCGCUAAUACCGCAUAUUCUGUGAGCAGGAAAGCAGGGACCGCAAGGCCUUGCGCUCUUUGAGCGGCCGAUGUCAGAUUAGCUAGUUGGUGAGGUAACGGCUUACCAAGGCGACGAUCUGUAGCGGGUCUGAGAGGAUGAUCCGCCACACUGGAACUGAGACACGGUCCAGACUCCUACGGGAGGCAGCAGUGGGGAAUUUUGGACAAUGGCGGCAAGACCUGAUACCAGCCAUGCCGCGUGAGUGAAGAAGGAC
rnacentral:rRNA from 1 species